GACGAACGCUGGCGGCGUGCUUAACACAUGCAAGUCGAACGGAAAGGCCCUGCUUUUGUGGGGUGCUCGAGUGGCGAACGGGUGAGUAACACGUGAGUAACCUGCCCUUGACUUUGGGAUAACUUCAGGAAACUGGGGCUAAUACCGGAUAGGAGCUCCUGCUGCAUGGUGGGGGUUGGAAAGUUUCGGCGGUUGGGGAUGGACUCGCGGCUUAUCAGCUUGUUGGUGGGGUAGUGGCUUACCAAGGCUUUGACGGGUAGCCGGCCUGAGAGGGUGACUGGCCACAUUGGGACUGAGAUACGGCCCAGACUCCUACGGGAGGCAGCAGUGGGGAAUAUUGCACAAUGGGCGGAAGCCUGAUGCAGCAACGCCGCGUGCGGGAUGACGGCCUUCGGGUUGUAAACCGCUUUCGCCUGUGACGAAGCGUGAGUGACGGUAAUGGGUGAAGAAGCACCGGCUAACUACGUG
rnacentral:rRNA from 1 species